rnacentral:lncRNA from 1 species
UUAGACUCAAAAGUUGUACUCUUUCAUUCAUGCGUAGAUGGAUAUAUUUAUAGCUAAACAAGAAACAGAAAAAGCUAAAAACUUGCAGCUGCAUGUGUUCCUAUGAAAGUGGAACUAAGCCACGUUAUUCUCCUUCCCUUCCAGUUAGUCAAUAUAUAACCAAAUCAACUACCAAGUAAAUCUGCUAAGGUACUAACACGUGACCCAUCCUCACAGUUUUUCAUUGUAGAUUCAAUUUCAUCAUCCAUAUAUAGCAUCUCUUUAACGUUUUUCUUGACAUGCAUCUUCAUAACGAAUGGGGUCUGCAUCUGCAAAAAAUACAAAGUCAAAAAAUUCAUCAAAAUCUAGCCUUUGUGUGUUUUCAUAGAUGCUUGUCAAGGUCUUCAUUUUUUUGACGGGUGUGUUGGAUGAACAUGAGGCCGAACUUGUGCUUGGAUCCUGAGUUAAGGGGCUUUGGGGUUGUUAUCUGGAGUGGUACGAAUCCUGUAUAUAUAUUAACCUCUAUUAACUAUCUAUUAACCUCAAUUGUUGGAUGUCAAGCCUUAUGGCUAAGGUCAGUUAUGAAUGAAUUAAGUCAACCUCAAUGGGAAGCUACUAGCAUUUUUUGUGACAACAAAUCUACCAUUGCUCUAUCCAAAAAUUCGGUCUUUCAUGGAAAAAGUAAGCAUAUCAGGCUCAAGUUUCACUUUGUUUGAGAGUUAGUAAAGGAUCAAGAAAUUGAGGUUGAAUAUUGUUGCUCAAAAGAUCAAGUUGCCGAUAUAUUUACAAAGUCUUUUCAAGGUGGAGCAUUCAAUCAUUUAAAGAAGAAUCUGGGUGUUGCUAAUGUCUAGCUUAAGGGGAAGUGUUAGAAUUAAGCUAGUCAUUAGAACUGUUAGGAAUGAAGUAUUUAUGGUUGUUAAUAGAUAGUUAUAGCAGUUUAGUAACCAUUGGUAUCUGAAUAGUUGUAAUAGUUGUAACGGUUGAUAUAUAUAUAUAUAUAUAUAUAUAUAUAUAUAUAUAUAUAUAUAUAUAUGUGUGUGUGUGUGUGUGUGUGUGUGUGUAUGUUUAUGACAGUUAAUAUGUUGUUGUUCCGUAUCUAUCAAAACAUUGUUUAUUUUAUUCUUGUCUCUCUUAAUCAUCUUAAGGAAUCAGAUCAGAGAUCUACAUUUAGUAGCAUCAAUGAUAGAAAAUUGAUCAAGAGUCAAGAUGUCAAACUCUUGUGGGUAAUAACUCUUUGGCACCCAAUGUUAAUAUAGCCCGAUGCAAGGUCCACACCAAAUACACUUGACAAGAUUCUGAUGAUUCCCACUAAUUUUCAGGAUUGUUUAGUUUAUUAUAAUUUAUUUUAUUUAUCACUCGGUAUGCAUCUCUAAUUUCUGGGAUUGUUUUUUUUUUCUUUUCUUAUGUAAUUCCACUCAAUUAUAUUACCCCUUGUGUUGCUUUAAAGGCAUUUUGAACUUCCCAUGCAUGCAAGAAAGUGUUAGCUAAAAGAAAUAAACAAUUGGAAAUUUUCUUGGUAUUAUGUAGCAUGUAUGAGAUGUUAUUUUCUUUUUCUAAAUGUUCGUGAUUAUUUUAUGUGUAAACGUUUUGAAUAAUUUAAAAAUCAUUUUUAACCAACUUUUGGGGAUGGAAAUUAUAGAUGAGUGAGUGAAGAGAAAUGCAAAUGAUCUUAUUUGGGAAAUGAGAAACUUAGAAGGAUUUGGACAAGUUUUGAUCGAAACUUGUAGUUUUUAAUGAGAAUUUAUAUAUGCUUGCUGACAAGAUACACACAUAGGGUGAUAGGGUCAUUGUUAAGUGUGGGACAUGUUUAUUAUAACAUCCUUAUAUACAAUUAUGAUGUUGGUAUGAACUUUCAAAACAAUACAAAUCAAUAAAGAUGUCAAACAUUCUCUCUUAUAGCGCCUCUUCGGAUUAUUGUAAUGAAAUGAUAAAGUCAGUAUCGAGGCCUGAUGGAGCUAAUGCAGUGAUACCAAUGUAUGUCACUGACUUUAUGUAUUCAUCUCUAAUGAAAUACUAUUCCAUAGUGUUUCAAUCUAAAAUGGAAGCCAACUAUAACCGACCAGUGGUGUGGGCUGGGGUAUUCAUCCUGAUAACAUCAUUGCAAUGCUGUCUGACUAUAUUACUUGAUUUGUGGAGUGGUUUCUACAACAAGCGAUAUUGGUUCCCAUGUAGAUAUUUCUAUCUGGGUGCUGUUUCUCUAACAUUCGUAACAGUCGCAGUGAAAUUAUCUACGGAUAUGACAAGCCCGAUGAAUGGAAAGGUGGACAUAACAACUAAGUUUGGAUGCUUGGCUUUUAUGUGCACAAUGGUCACAAACAUCAUGCCUUCUUUGGUGUCCAAGGACACCAAAGAACUUCUAUCAAUCGUGAUAACUUUUGCUAUUCUCAUAAUCACUGUCAUCGGGAACACUUGGGUGCAGUGUAUUAGUCGUGUCAUUUCUAAGUUUGGAUACUUGUACGUUGGUUUUCUUAUUCCAACUAAUACUUUUACUUGCUUUUUCUAUAACAAUUUGAUCGUCUAACAAAAUUUUAGAUGCCAAGUAUUAGACGCUUAGCAAAAUGGUUUGGAAGGUCAAGCACCGCAUGACACAAUAUACUCUUGUAAGAGUCUAAGUAGCCAUAUGGAACGAUACUUAAUUAUGGCGGAAAUGCGUAACCCUGAGUUUGCGCUUUCUAGCGACCCGAUUUGCUUUUUUUUUUCUCUCUUAAUUUCUUUAUUCAGUUUGGGAUUUUACAUAUUUAUAGCGGUGACACAACUUGCUUCACGUGAUGAUUUGGUACAGGAUUCAGCAUACAGUUGGUCUACGUUUCCUAGCCUUCUAACACAGUUCAGUGGAACUAUAAUAGGGGUCAUUGCCCCUAUCAUUAGAUGUUUUACAGUUGUGAAAUGCAUCAUCUGAGCUUGUGAAAGCUCAAUUGGCGGCAAGGAAGCUGUGGGAUGAAUUGGACGACAACUAUAUGUGGGUGGAGAAAAGUGCAUUUCAAGGGAAAACAACCAUGGAGAGAUCCUUGGGUGGUUUUCUAACAAAGCAAAACAAAUUUUGGAUGGAGAACCGGUGCAUAACGUAUCUUGGGGGUUCAUUGUUAUGAAUUUAAUGUACUGCAUUGCACAAUCCAUCAUUAUGGUUACCACCCAAGAAGAAGAAGCAGUGAUUCCUGAAGUCCAAUUGUUUACGCUGUUAUCUCGAAUGAUAGCUGAUAUCUUGCUAGCCUCAGUGACGGAGCCAAUGGGGGGCUAGCGGGUGCUUCGCCACCCCCAACUGUUUCAAUUCAUAUAUUGGAAAGACUAAUAACUGAAUAUAUUUGAUUGGUUAAUUGAUGGUCCAUAUAACCCACCGCCACCCUUAUCUUUUGACAGGAAGUAUGAGUUUAUUUUCUUUAAAUGUUAAAUAAUUAUAGAUUCUUAUAUGGUUCCAUUUUGUGGAUUCUUUCUUUUCAAAAAUGAAAAAAUCCAUUUUGUUAGAAAUAGAUUAUAACGUAAAAAAUAAAGAUCUAUAAUACUGUUUCUAUAAGUGACUCUGAUUCAAAAAAAUCUCACUAAAAAGUCAAAUUCUAAAAUCAUAACCACAUUCUAUCAAAAUUUUAAAAUACUUUUGAUCCAACACAAGGGAUUUCUAAGGCACUAAAAUAUAAUUUUCUUUUUUAUUUACCACACACACACACACAUAUAUAUAUAUAUAUAUAUAUAUAUAUAUAUACAUACAUACANUAUAUAUAUAUAUAUUGUCAAACAAUAUAAAAAUAAGUCAUAUUUUAUAUUUGUAAAUUUAGAGAACCAAAAAGUCAUGGUUUUGAGUUUGUAUAAUACUAAAAGGUAACUAAUUUAUGUUUAGUAAAUUAAAGAGGCAUUAGAAAUUAGGCAUUUAAAACUUUUAUCAAUUACUCUAUGAUGAUUAUUUUUUGUUAGUUUUUUAGGUUGUUGAUUAUACGUAUUUAUUCUAAUGUAUGAUUUACUUAUUAACUUGUUAAUAUUAUUGUCUCUGAUUUGGAGUUGUCAAUUUGGCUAAAAAUCAUUAGAGCUUUACGAAAGUAAAUAUAGAUAUGAGCCCCUUAUCUUAAAACUCUGACUCCGACCCUGUAAGUGUGAGAUAUGUUGAUUUUAACAUCCUUAUAAAAAAAAUGAUGUUCGUAUUAGUUUUUAAAACAAUAAGCAUCAAUAUCAAAUACAUAUUACUUCAGUAAAGAUGUCAAACAUGGUCUCAUACACUGCUUCGUCUAGUUACUGGGAUGGGGUUGGUAUGUAGGCCCCACUAAUGUGGUAAUACCUAUGUACAUCAUUAACACUAAAACAUGUUAAGCAUACUACAAUCUUUGUUAACGUGGUAAAUUUUAACAUAUGAUAACCUUUUGUGCUUAUCGUUUUGAAAUUUCAAUUGUAAAUGAAGUUGUUUUUGUCCACCUCAACAUAGUUUACGAGAGAUGGUUUUACAUCUUUUUGGUUAAAAGAAAGGGAACAAACACUAGAUUACCAUUUUUAAUUUUGUUUAUUGCAUACUUCAUUGACGUGUAUAGAAAAAAAUAUAAUAAUUUUAAAUGCUAAUCAGAUUCGAUUCCGUUAACAACCAUUUUUAUUAUGCAUAAAAAUACUUAUGCAAUAUAUUAGCUUGUUCAAAACAUAAAAUUAAUUAAAAAAAAUCCAAUUAUGGUUUAUAUCUCCUAUUCUUUUUUUAUUAAGUCUACGUUUUUCAUGUGCAUAACUUAGUUGUACUAGACAACCGAUUAUGCAUGCUCAAUAGGUAUAAUUGGGUGAGAUCAUUGUAUACAACGUGCACAUAAAAUUAUUGUACUCUUUUGCAUUGAUCCUUUUUUUUUUCAAACACUAAGUUACUGAAAAUAAUUUUAUGUAUUUCAACAUCCGACGAACUUUUGUAUAUGGUAUAAAUUAUAGAAGAAUCAUAAUUACUUUACUCAGUUUUUUUAUUAAUAUAUUUAGCUAAUACCAUUCGACAUAUUUUGAAAUAACCGAAUAACCGAAUUUUUGUGGCUUACGAAUCCGAUGUUUUUUUUGCUUUAUCGAUUGAUCUAAGGUUGGAGGGAGUCAUUCCCUCCCAACCAUUCCCUCCCAAUCCACUGAACCCACUGCCACAUCAUUUUUUUCUCUUUUAUUUUUCUUCAUCUAUCCGAACCCACAGCACACGGAAACCCUAUCUUUUUGAACUCACUCAAUUAAAAAAAUAUACAAAACAAUCAAAUGUAAAAUCUUAAUUAGCAUUAGAGUUAUCGGCGGUACCAUUCCCACUUCAACGAGUGAGUUGAUUGGUUGCACUAACUCACUUCAUCAUCUCUCGCUACUUUCUCUUUCUUAUUUUCUCUUGUACCAUGUGUUUUAAAACUUGUACCUUAGCUGUUUUGUAUUUUUUAAUUGAGUGGGUUGGAAAAGAUGAAGAAAAAGAAGAGACAAAAAUUGAUGUGGCAGUGAGUUCGGUGGGUUGGGAGGGAACGACUCCCUCCUUCCUAAUAUUGUUAUGAAAGAAACUUUUGAUUUGUUUAUCAAUUUGGCUAAAAUUAAGAACUUUAAGAGGUGUUUAAGAUUACUUUUUAACCUCAAAAGUCCUUUUUAAAAAAAAAAAGACUUUUUGCAUAAAGGCUUUCUUAAAAUAUGUGUGGAUUAUUAUUUGAGGGGCAAAAUACAAAAGUUGUUUUUAAAAACUAUUUGGUUUAAUUUUUACAUCUAAAAUAACUAAAAGUCACAAUAAGUCACAUUUUAGUAACUUUUGAAAACCUUUAUUUUUCUUAUAUUCAAAAAGUCAUUUUUAAAAGAAAUUUUCUAUUAUCCAAAUACAGUUGGGCUUUUCUUUUUUGACUUUUUGAGGCUUUUCUUUUUUGACUUUUUGAGAAAGUUAAAAGUCAAAAACCAUUCUAAAAGGAAUCUCAAAUACCAUCCAAGUUUUAUAUGAAUAUUAUUUAUGUGAACUGUGGUGGACCUAGAAUCUUGACAAAUUGAUAAUGUCAAUGCAAUAAUGAUUAUGUAUUUUAUUUACAUCUUGUAUUGUUAAUUUUGACCAUUAUAUAUGAGAUAAUCAUAUUGUUGUUAAUAAACAUAAUGUAUGACCGCAAAUUUACAUCUGGAACCGACCCGGCCCGGGAACCGAAGUCGGCCGAAAUUAAUAACCGAACCAGACCGCUGGAUCUACCGGUUCCUACCGGUUCUUGCUGUGUCUUUGAUGUUGGAACCGGUCCUCGAGAAACAGCAACAUACGGUUCCGGUUUUUUCCGUUCUACCGGGGUUCCGUUUCUACCGGUUCCCGGUUCAAAAAAUGCACAAGAAUAUCGUCCCGGUCCCGGCCCAAUCGGUUCUAUCCGUUCCAGUUCCGGCCGGUUCCACGCACACACACCCACCCACCCAUCCACAAGAAUAUCGUCCCGGUCCCGGCAGGCACACACACACACACACACACACACACAUAUAUAUAUAUAUAUAUGAAAAUUCGAACGGACAAUUUUUUUAGCAUGAGAUUUGUUAGAAGUAACUACCGCCCCUUAGACACCAUAAGGAUGACCCCCUUGACCCUGCUAGGGGCUAUUUGGAACCCCACCAGGGGUGUUGCCCAGGGACCCCUAUGCUCCCGAAUUCACUUUGGCUUCUCUCGAUCGAGUAGACAACACCUCCAAUCUCAUAUUAUAACUAUAAUUCAACUCAGUUUGUCUCGACAAAUUUCAAGUACUCAAGAAUCACGAUGUCAUUAGGAUUGAGUAAUUGAAGAUAUUAUACACACAAGUUUUUACAUAAAUUCUAAUGUUCAUGCUUGAAACUAUUACAAGUCAUUGUUUUGUCCCCACGAGUGCAUAAAAGCCAAGCACUAAGCUUCCUGAAGCGGUAAAACUUCACUCACAUAGAUGGUCCUUUUAAUUCAUGCAUCAACACAUACAUGUUUUUAAUAGAGCUAUUAACGAACUAUUUAUCCUAAUUUUAAUUUGCAGUUUUAAGCACAUACCUUAGGAAGAAGUAAACCAAUGUGCUUUGAUCUCCAAAAGCAAGCCUUCUACAUUGAAUUCAAUUCCUAGCAUUGUAUUAGGAGGGAAUUGGGUAUCUUACCCUUUCAGAGAUACCAAACGGGACUUAAACUUAUCUUGAUAACCGACAUAUUUAUCAAUUUCCUAGCUAAUCCUUUCGUUAAAUGAUCGACUAGAUUCUCUUAAGUCGAACAAACUCGACAUAACCUAUAAACUAUCCGACGAUCAUUAAACAAUAGAGUAGAAUAAAUUGAAAACACAAUUGUCAUUAUACAGUCGAAUUAAAAUCGAUUUGACUCCAAGCUGGAGUCGAUUGAACAGAAUUUGAAAGAAAACUCGGAAAAAUGGAGUUGCGAUUUAAAGAGAUCGGCCGGCAGUAUGAAGAUGAAGAUGCUUCAAUUAGCCAAGAUGAAGCACAAUUCAGAAGGUUUAGACAAGAACGUACCUGGAUCAAGUAAGUGAACGCCGUCUGGGGUGAGUUCCGUCAACACCACCGCCUGAAGCAGAGAUACGAUCCAGAUCAGCGUCGGAGAGUGAGCAUCGUACCCAUAACGGCGUCCGACGGUGCUUGAGAGAUACGAUCCAGAUUGGUGUCGGGGAAACGUCUUCCGACGGUGAAAUCCAUCAAAAGUACAGAUGCGUCAAAAGCACAUCGCAUCUUACUUCUAUUUUUACAAGAAAAUAAUCCUCACUUGUUACUAAUUUAUUACUUUAUUUAGUUUAUCGAUUCAAAUGUUAGGUGGCCCAUCGUUUUUUCUUUACAAGAGUUUGAAGGAUGAUGAGUUGGCUUCCAAUAUAGUUUCCAAUAUAGGCAUAGAUGAGUGCUUUAAGUUCAUAACGUGUAUACCUUUCAUUUUUCACCUUUUCAGUGAUUUUCCUUUUCAUAUUUCUCAUUUUUUUAAAACCUAAAAA